CAGUAGAGUCACGCAAUGGUAAAAUUGGUUAGCGAUCACAGUCUGGCUGAGUAGGCCCAUGGCAUUAAUCACUUUUAAAGAUCUGGUCCCUAAGUACUUAAUUUCUAGGAAACAGCAGAAUGUGACAUUACAAGGAUCCUAUUUAGAGACACACACUCUGCAGAUCAAAGCAGGAACUACUGGAAAUGCUUUCUGAAGGUAUGUGUAACUAUAAAAUGUUUUGAGUGGCUGCCAGUAUUUUGUAAUCAGUGUUGUAAAGUUUUGUGAUACUCUUGAUGUCUGCAGAUGUUAUGUGGCCCGUGGCACAGAGCUGAUGUUCUAAAUUACCAAUUAUGAAACCUAAUGGAGCCCUGAGAACCAACUCCUGCCCUCCUUUGGGUACCGGGGCAGUCUUUAAAUGCCAGCAAAGGACUGAUGCUAUAAAUAAAACUCUGUCUCCAUAGUGACAGGCAGUUCAGUGCUCAGCUUUCAACACUUUAAGAAGGUGGUGACUGAGAGGAAUUCUCACUGGGAACUGGAUGACCCUUCAGUCUGAUGAAUGAAGGAAGGCAUGUAAUGGAGGUGGAGGAGGCUUUUCCUCUGAUACUUGAGGCAACUGAUUUCCAUCUGCCAUUUUAAAGGCAUACCACGUAGGAUGGAGUUCCAGUCCUUUACUCACUUGCUAAUGGAAAAAAAUGGGACAGGUGGUUCUUCACUGAAGCACAGAAGAGCACAAUGCUACAUCCUUUAUCUAACAGCUGUUUCAUCAGAUUGCUGCAGUGGCUGCAGAAAUAAGACAGCCUUAUUUCUCUAUCUUCAGAUUCUUAUAGUUCAUGGGAGAAGAUUUACAGAUGGGUGAAAGGAAAUAAUCCAUAACAGGAGAGUGUCUUUACAUUGUAAUCUGGCUGAAAAAUCACAGAGGAGAAGUUUUCCCGUGCAAAGCACAGAGUAGACAUUAAGGGGGUAGUGCUGUCACAUUUUGCAUGUUUGUGCUGC
rnacentral:lncRNA from 1 species